AUUGAACGCUGGCGGCAUGCCUAACACAUGCAAGUCGAACGAGUGGCGGACGGGUGAGUAACGUCUGGGAAACUGCCCGUUGGAGGGGGAUAACUACUGGAAACGGUAGCUACAACCGCAUACCAUCAGAUGUGCCCAGAUGGGAUUAGCUUGGUGGUGGGGUAACGGCUCACCAAGGCGACGAUCCCUAGCUGGUCUGAGAGGAUGACCAGCCACACUGGAACUGAGACACGGUCCAGACGCCUACGGGAGGCAGCAGUGGGAAAUUUUGGACAAUGGGGGCAAGCCUGAUGCAGCCAUGCCGCGUGUGUGAAGCAGGCCUUCGGUUUGUAAAGUACUUUCAGCGGGAAGGCGGUACCCGCAGAAGAAGCACCGGCUAACUCCGUGCCAGCAGCCGCGGUAAUUC
rnacentral:rRNA from 1 species